rnacentral:rRNA from 1 species
GAUGAACGCUAGCGGCAGGCCUAAUACAUGCAAGUCGGACGGUAAAUGGCCCUUCGGGGCUAUGAGAGUGGCGCACGGGUGCGUAACGCGUAUGCAACCUACCCAAUGCUGGCGGAUAGCCCGGAGAAAUUCGGAUUAAGCCGUCAUGAGGAGCGGAGAGGGCAUCCUUUCUGUUUCAAAUAUUCAUAGGCGUUGGAUGGGGAUGCGUGACAUUAGAUAGUAGGCGGGGUAACGGCCACCUAGUCUACGAUGUCUAGGGGUUCUGAGAGGAAGGUCCCCCACACUGGAACUGAGACACGGUCCAGACUCCUACGGGAGGCAGCAGUGAGGAAUAUUGGUCAAUGGUCGGAAGACUGAACCAGCCAAGUAGCGUGAAGGAUGAAGGUUCUAUGGAUUGUAAACUUCUUUUAUACGGGAAUAAAACACCUUACGUGUAGGGUCUUGUAUGUACCGUAUGAAUAAGCAUCGGCUAACUCCGUG